UGCGGCCUCGGCCGUUGGUCUAGUGGCGCCCUGCUGCUCGAGUGGGCAGGCGGGCCGGCCAGAUCUGGCUGUCUGUGGAGGCGUGCGUCCCUGCUGAUGGCGCUGCUGGCCUCGAGAGGGCGGGCGUUCUUGGACGUGCUCCUUGGCGCGGCUGUGCGGGGCGUGCGGCUGCUGCGGCGGCACGUGAGGGCUGGCGCGGAUCUGGGCAUGGCAGCGCGAAGUGGCCGUUUCUCUGGCUCGAUCUGCUGCUACGGUGUCCAGGCGGCCGGAAGGAGAUGGUCGGUGGUUGGAGGGGCUGUAGGCGCGCUGGUCUUACACGGUGAGGGUUGGCGAGGUGGGCUACUCGGGUCCACUGGUUGGAUGGUUAAGGUUGCCGGCGAAAGCUGAACUCCGGCAGUGGCCGGAGUUGUCGAUGGCAGCACCGGCAGGCCGUUUCCUUGCUGAAGCAGCCAGACAUGCCCAUCCGGCCGGAAAGGAAUCGGCAAGCUGCAGAUUGAUCAAGCUAAGUAAUUUUCUUAUCUUUGUUUGCACGGCCAGAUAGCACGCCUUCUUGCUGAUUACUUCUUCCCGUACACUCACGUGAAACAACAUAGAUUCACUAAUUGAUUUCGGCCAGAUGCGCUAAUACAGAAAGUUAGCUCGAUUAGUUAAUCUCCAGCUAUUUGGGCCUAAUAUUUUUUUGAUCUGGUCAAGUUCACACUGGGUUCUUAUUUUCAUAAGGCCAAAUGGUGUUCAUCAAUGCUUGGACAUGAACUCUGUUGUCAUCCUAUUUUAACAAUAUUAGGCCCAAAUUUGAUGUAUUUUCAUAACGCUGAGCUCUGUUGUCAUCCUAUUUUCUACAAUCUUAUGCUAUUCUUUUUCUUCCAUUCGUUUGCUUAACAUUAUAUUCUCUGUAGAUAUGUCAAAUUUGAUGUGUUUGAAAGAUGACUAAGAGUAGCAGUACUGUCGUAUGGCCGGCUUAAUUAAUAUUCCAACCACCAAUCGUGGCUACUAACUACCAAGAAAAGCAGUCAUAUGUGUACCUUUACUAAGAGUAGCAGUUCCUGAAGUUUAUAUAUUGCAGACUGCGGUGUGGUGGUCAAUAAAUCAUGUCAAAUGUUGUAGGGUGCUCGAAGUAAUGAGUUUGCUGCUGCUUCAAGCCAAGUGCACCUCUGUAGUCUUGCUGAAGAAAGAGGAGGAGAAGUUGAACGUAUAAGGUGUCGUGGCUGGAGGCCACAUGGACCCCACCUCCGCCGCAGGGGCGACGUGUAUUUCCUCUUGCUUCACCGCCUUAUAGCCAAGCAGACCAGGAGUGACCUCCUCUCCUACUACACCAGCAGCCUUCACUGGCUCUGGAGACAUGCUGGCCAUUGACGCUCCGACGCCGAUGAGUAAUCAGUUCCAUCAUUGACAUAUAACCUGACAAGUUGUUGGGCGGGAUGGGUUCCGUUGGCGUUGUGGUCCAGACACAAUAAUUCUUUGAAGCAGCGCCGUAGUGGAAUGAUGUAAAAAAAGUGUGAUGUGCCACAAUUUGGAUGUAAUGAUUUCUAGCUGCUAUGAGGAACGAAGCUUAAUCGGUGACUGCACUCUUUUUAACCAAGCUUCAGUCUAAGGAGAAUUUGACAAGUAAUCAAGCAAAUCAGCACUAUCGUCGAUGGAAGUUGUCGUGCGGAGAUGGAAGUUGACAAGUAAGUUUCUCCAUGAAGCUGAUCUGAUGUGAAGCUUGUGCCAGAUAAAAGGUUAAUUGAGUUCUCAUCUCCAAUAUGUGUGCAUUCUAACUAUCCUUGUUGAUUCAGUGGUUCCAUGAUGCUACAUUUCACUUGUUUUUCACCUCUUGAUGCUACUAUGGACAGAAGGCGUUUGCUAAUUUGCACAUUAAUUUUUUUUGAUAAACUGUGCCAAUAUCACCUGCAUUAUGAUUUUUAAAUUAUUGAUCCCUGCUAUAAUGUAGCGUGCCCACAUAACAAGUAUUCCGCAAUCUUCGCAAGCAUGUAUUUGUUUGUCUAACUAUAGGUGGAAGAACAAGAUCCACUGUGUGUGCAACGGCAACAAUAAAUAUCAUGUCAUUAGAUCAUGUCAUUUGACUUCCCGGAGAACUACAUAUUCCUGGCUAUUGGAAGGGUCAGGUCAAGUACUGAGUUGAUUGCCCAGAGAGUUGAGUUUGUACAGGAGGCUGAUAAAAGAAGUCACUUGAUGGAUCUGCUCCAUGUGCAAAGAGACAGUUCAGAUCAAGGGAGCAAGCUCUCAUACUUGUCUUAGUGGAGAGUGGAGACCAAAAGGGGUGCCGACUCACUAGAGAACUGGUUUUGUAUGAAUGGAUUUUCAGCGACUUCAGUUCAUGGUGAUGGAAACCAGUAGGUUUAUCCUUUUUUUUCCUUCAGAACCUCCCAUUUUUGCUUGGAGCAUAUUUAUUUCUGCUUGUUCUCUGGAAUGAUGUAAUAAUCGGCCAGUUGCUACCAUCAAAUGAAUAUUGCCAAUUUACUAUUCCUUUGGUUUGUUUGACAGACUAUUGUAGCUUUUGUACUUUCCAGGUAUUGCUACCACACAUCAAAUACUUAUUUACU